UAGGAUAUCUGUCUCCCUUCACGUCCAUAUUGAAGAUAGCAUGCAGUGGUGAAACAUCAACCAACGUAAAUUUGAUAACGAAACCUCGCCUGAUAAAAUUAUCCAACACAAAAAGUCUCCAACCUACCUUGAAAUUUUUUUGAUCACCAAGUACAAUCCACUCUUUGUCACGAUGGCGCAAAAUCGCGUGCUCUAAUGUUGGAGGAAGA
rnacentral:lncRNA from 1 species